rnacentral:rRNA from 1 species
UACAGAGGUGGCAAGCGUUGUUCGGAAUUACUGGGCGUAAAGCGUGCGCAGGCGGUUUUGUAAGUCAGAUGUGAAAGCCCCGGGCUUAACCUGGGAAUGGCAUUUGGGACUGCAAGGCUUGAGUGCGGCAGAGGAGACUGGAAUUCCUGGUGUAGCAGUGAAAUGCGUAGAUAUCAGGAGGAAUACCGAUGGCGAAGGCAGGUCUCUGGGCUGACACUGACGCUCAUGCACGAAAGCGUGGGGAGCAAACAGG